UAGUAUCAGCGUGCCAGCAGCCGCGGUAAUACGGAGGGUGCAAGCGUUGUCCGGAUUUAUUGGGUUUAAAGGGUGCGUAGGUGGCUUUAUAAGUCAGUGGUGAAAGCCUGCAGCUUAACUGUAGGACUGCCAUUGAUACUGUAAAGCUUGAGUACUGAUGAGGUAGGCGGAAUUGAUAGUGUAGCGGUGAAAUGCAUAGAUAUUAUCAAGAACACCGAUUGCGAAGGCAGCUUACUAAGGAGUUACUGACACUGAGGCACGAAAGCGUGGGGAUCAAACAGGAUUAGAUACCCUGGUAGUCCACGCCAUAAACGAUGAUUACUCGAUGUAUGCGAUAGAUAGUAUGCGUCCAAGCGAAAAGCGUUAAAGUAAUCCACCUGGGGAGUACGACCGCAAGGUUGAAACUCAAAGGAAUUGACGGG
rnacentral:rRNA from 1 species